ensembl:lncRNA
GGCCCCAAAGCAGCCCCAACUGUGCCUGGUCCUCCUCCAUCCUGGGCCCCAAAGCAGCCCCAACUGUGCCUGCUCCUCCUCCAUCCUAGGCCCCAAAGCAGCCCCAACUGCGCCCGGUCCUCCUCCAUCCUGGGCCCCAAAGCAGCCCCAACUGUGCCUGGUCCUCCUCCAUCCUGGGCCCCAAAGCAGCCCCAACUGUGCCUGCUCCUCCUCCAUCCUAGGCCCCAAAGCAGCCCCAACUGUGCCCGGUCCUCCUCCAUCCUGGGCCCCAAAGCAGCCCCAACUGUGCCCGGUCCUCCUCCAUCCUGGGCCCCAAAGCAGCCCCAACUGUGCCUGGUCCUGCUUCAUCCUGGGCACCAAGAGCCUGGCUGUGCCGGGGCUCCCUUUGGUCUGGGCCAAGAGCAGGCCUCAACUGUGCCAGGCCCCCCUCCAGCCCAGGCCCCAAAGCAGCCCCAACUGUGCCAGGCACCUUUCCAGCUCGGGCCCCAAGGCAGCCCCAACUGUGCCUGGUCCUCCUCCAUCCUGGGCCCCAAGGUCCAGGAUGUGCCGGGGCGCCCUUUGGUCUGGGCCCAGAGGAGGCUUCCACUGUGCUAGGCCCCCUCCAGCUCGGGCCCCCCCAGUGCAACCCCAACUGCACCUGGUCCUCCUCCAUCCUCAACCCCAACACAGCCCCAACUGGCCUGGUCCUGCUUCAUCCUGGACCCCAAAGCAGCCCCAGCUGUGCCAUGUCCUCCUCCAUCCUGGGACCAAGGGCAGCCCCAACUGUGUCUGGUCCUACUCCAUCCUAGGACCCAAGGCCCAGGCUGUGCCGGGGCUCCCUUUGGUCUGGGAAAAGAGCAGGCCUCAACACUGCCAGGCUACCCUCCAUCCUGGGCCCCAAAGCAGCCCCAACUGUGCCUGCUCCUCCUCCAUCCUAGGCCCCAAAGCCUGGGCAGUGCCGGGGCUCCCUCUGGUCUGGGCCAAGAGGAGGCCUCAACUCUGCUAGGCCCCCCUCCAGCUCAGGCCCCCCCAGUGCAGCCCCAACUGCACCUGGUCCUCCUCCAUCCUGGGCCCCAACACAGCCCCAACUGAGCCUGGUUCUCCUCCAGCCUGGGCCCCGAGGCUCUACCUGUGCCUGGGCCCCCUUCCUUCUGGGCCCACACCAGGCCUCAACUGUGCCAGGCCCCCUCCAGCCUGGGCCCCGAGGCCACCACUGUGCUGGACCACCCUCCGGCACAGGCCCUGCCCCAAGCCCUGCCCCCUGUGGACAGCUCUGCUCUUUGCCUGCUUGGUUUUUGUUCUCUCUUCACUCUGCCAGCUUAACUGGAUGAGUUUCAAUGGGGCCGAGUGUCGGGUCCUGCAUUUUGGUCACAACAAGCCCAGGCGUCCCCCCAGUCCUCCUUGGGGAGGAGUGGCUGGAAAGCUGCCUGAGCCCUGAAAGGGACCUUGGUGUGCUGACG